CCCACACAAGCAUGAAAUAUUUACCAAACAAACAUUACGUAUCAAUAAACAUGCUCUCAUCCUCAUAGAUAAAGAAAAAUAGCUACCCGUAAAUUGUUGUUGACUUGGACCUGCGUGUCCACGAGUGUUACAUUUGAUGCUUUACUUUACGGACAAUAAAAUCUUAUUCAUCAAAAAAAAAAAGAAAAGAUAAAUAGCUGAGAUUGAAUUAUACAAGAUAUAACGUCGGAGAGACAUUCGGUAACACACAGUAGAGAGUAAUGAGAGUAAAAAAGAUCUAAGGACUUGGA